rnacentral:lncRNA from 1 species
AUGUCAACACUUGGGACAAAACUACCUUUUAAAACAUUCAGAGAGUGGUUUACCAGAGUGCUCCUGGCUCAAGUCCCUGCUUGGACACAUGUUAAGUGUGUGACUGCUCCAAGCCCCUGUCCCCUCUGGGUGGAAGCACAGGAACCUGUGGCCUGGGUGAAGACUGCCGUGCACUCCCCACCCCAGCCAGGCAUCAUCCAGAGCCAGCCGUCCUGAAUGCGUGGAUGCCCAGGCUGGCCAGCAUCUUGCAAACUCAGGCACCAGGUGACCCACUGCCAGCAGGGACACAGCAUAACAGCAUCU